rnacentral:rRNA from 1 species
UACAGAGGUGCCGAGCGUUAGGCGGAAUCACUGGGCUUAAAGCGUGUGUAGGCGGACUUCUAAGUACCUUGUGAAAUCCCACGGCUCACCCGUGGAACUGCUGGGUAUACUGGUCGUCUUGAGCCACCUAGGGGCGAGCGGAACAAAUGGUGGAGCGGUGAAAUGCGUAGAUAUCACUUGGAACGCCAAAGGUGAAGACAGUCUGCUGGGGAUCUGCUGACGCUGAGACACGAAAGCCAGGGGAGCGAACGGG